rnacentral:miRNA from 1 species
CAGUUAAAUCUGAAUUUCAGAGAAACAAUUUUUUUUUUUUUGAGUGUAAGUAUAUCCCAUGUAAUAUUUGGGACAGACUUAUACUAAAAAAUUAUUCACUGUUUCUUUGAAACUCAGAUUUAACU